rnacentral:rRNA from 1 species
UGAACGCUAGCGGCAGGCCUAACACAUGCAAGUCGAGGGGCAGCACAAAGAUAGUUUACUAUUUUGGUGGCGACCGGCGCACGGGUGAGUAACGCGUAUGCAACCUACCUUAUACAGGAGUAUAGCCCGAAGAAAUUCGGAUUAAUCCUCCAUAGUAUUUUCUAAUGGCAUCAUUUGGAAAAUUAAAGCUUCGGCGGUAUAAGAUGGGCAUGCGUCCUAUUAGCUAGAUGGUAAGGUAACGGCUUACCAUGGCAACGAUAGGUAGGGGGUCUGAGAGGGUGAUCCCCCACACUGGUACUGAGACACGGACCAGACUCCUACGGGAGGCAGCAGUGAGGAAUAUUGGGCAAUGGAGGCAACUCUGACCCAGCCAUGCCGCGUGCAGGAAGAAUGCCCUAUGGGUUGUAAACUGCUUUUAUUUAGGAAUAAACCCUUCUACGUGUAGAAGGCUGAAUGUACUAAACGAAUAAGCACCGGCUAACUCCGUGCCAGCAGCCGCGGUAAUACGGAGGGUGCAAGCGUUAUCCGGAAUCAUUGGGUUUAAAGGGUCCGCAGGCGGACGUAUAAGUCAGUGGUGAAAUCCUGCAGCUUAACUGCAGAACUGCCAUUGAUACUGUACGUCUUGAAUUCGGUCGAAGUGGGCGGAAUGUGUAGUGUAGCGGUGAAAUGCAUAGAUAUUACACAGAACACCGAUAGCGAAGGCAGCUCACUAGGCCUGGAUUGACGCUCAGGGACGAAAGCGUGGGGAUCAAACAGGAUUAGAUACCCUGGUAGUCCACGCUGUAAACGAUGAUUACUCGUUUUCGGCGAUAUACAGUCGGAGACUAAGCGAAAGUGAUA